rnacentral:RNase_P_RNA from 1 species
AGAGUGGGCUGGGUGAUCGCUGGUGUGACGGUUUUUUUUCAAACCUAAACACUGGAGGAAAGUCCGGGCUCCAUAAAGCAAGAUGCCGGGUAACGCCCGGCGGGGGUAACCCUAGGGACAGUGCCACAGAAAGCAAACCGCCGGACCAGCUUUUUUAACUUUCGGUAAGGGUGAAAGGGUGCGGUAAG